GAGAUGUUGGGUUAAGUCCCCGCAACGAGCGCAACCCUUGCCAUUAGUUGCUACGAAAGGGCACUCUAAUGGGACUGCCGGUGACAAACCGGAGGAAGGUGGGGAUGACGUCAAGUCCUCAUGGCCCUUAUAGGUGGGGGCUACACACGUCAUACAAUGGCCGGUACAGAGGGUAGCCAACCCGCGAGGGGGAGCCAAUCCCACAAAGCCGGUCGUAGUCCGGAUCGCAGUCUGCAACCUCGACUGCGUGAAGUCGGAAUCGCUAGUAAUCGCGGAUCAGCAUGUCGCGGUGAAUACGUUCCCGGGUCUU
rnacentral:rRNA from 1 species